rnacentral:rRNA from 1 species
UUGGCCUACGGGGCGCAGCAGUGAGGAAUAUUGGUCAAUGGGCGAGAGCCUGAACCAGCCAAGUCGCGUGAAGGAUGACGGCCCUAUGGGUUGUAAACUUCUUUUGUCAGGGAGCAAUUGAGUCCACGUGUGGGCUUAGCGAGAGUACCUGAAGAAAAAGCAUCGGCUAACUCCGUGCCAGCAGCCGCGGUAAUACGGAGGAUGCGAGCGUUAUCCGGAUUUAUUGGGUUUAAAGGGUGCGUAGGCGGAAUAUCAAGUCAGCGGUAAAAAUUCGGGGCUCAACCCCGUCGUGCCGUUGACACUGG